AUAUUUCAAACAGACAUCCCUUCCACGAUACACGAUGCCCUUUCCACGGGCAGAGGGAUGAGGUUUUCAGAACCCACAGAUAAACAGACAGCGAGGGCCUACAACAUCCAUAACAUAUGGGGGACGAUGAAGGAAGUCUGGAGGAAGCACAGGCGACAUCCCGCUCAAAGAGAACACGCAGGCUGGUACUCCUGGGGAAGUGGAGGAGGCAGGUUUGCCCAAUGGACACUUUUACACAGUUGUUGAAAUAAAAAUCUUGUCUUGCUUCUGCUGCAUUUUAUAACAUCUGGACUCCGUACAGGCAAUGGAGCACAUAUUGGUUCUGUCCUAUGCUCUCUGCCCUGGAGAGACAACAAGUACUGCUGGUCAAAAAGCUCUUAUUUUGUGAGUCUACCGAAGAGGGAAUGCAAGUGGAAAACAAGUGGAAGAAAAUCAUCAGUACCACUCAAAAACAUUCCUUCCCUAUUGCAAUACUUGGACUUGAAUGUUCUUAUUAAAAUCACCAUAUCAACUGUAAAGUUUUGUACAAAAUUUGUACAGAAUCCCAGGAAGAAGGAAAUCCCAUGAAAACACACCAUUCUAGACCCAGAUGGACUUCCACGCUUGACAAGGAGAAUUUUGCCACCGGUUCAAUUGAGAACACUUGGGGUAAGCCUUCU